rnacentral:rRNA from 1 species
UACGUAGGGCGCAAGCGUUUGUCCGGAAUUAUUGGGCGUAAAGAGCUCGUAGGCGGUUUGUCGCGUCUGCUGUGAAAACCUAAGGCUCAACCUUGGGCUUGCAGUGGGUACGGGCAGACUAGAGUGUGGUAGGGGAGACUGGAAUUCCUGGUGUAGCGGUGAAAUGCGCAGAUAUCAGGAGGAACACCGAUGGCGAAGGCAGGUCUCUGG